rnacentral:lncRNA from 1 species
GUCAUCUGACCUUGACCUCAUUUUCAUGGUUCAGUGGUUAUAGUUAAGUUUUUGUGUUUUGGUCUGUUUUUCUUAUACUAUAUGCAAUAGGUCUACUAUAUUUUGUGUAUGGAAUGAUUGUAAGGUGUACAUGUCUAGCUGACGGGUGUCAUCUGACCUUGACCUCAUUUUCAUGGUUCAGUGGUCAAAGUUGAGUUUUUGAGUUUUGGUCUAUUUUUCUAAUACUUUAUGCAUUUGGUCAACUAUAUUUGGUGUAUGGAAAUAUUUUAUGAUCUAUAAGUCUGUUACGCAGGUUUUAUUUGACCAUGACCUCAUUUUCACGGUCCAUUGCUAAGUGUUAAGUGUUUUUGUUUUGGUCUAUUUUUCUUAAUUUAUAAGCAAUAAGUCAACUAUAUUUGUUGUAUUAAGGAAUUGUUAGCUGUACAUGUCUGCUUGGCAUGGUUCAUCUGACCUUGACCUCAUUUUCAUGGUUCAUUGAUCAAUGUUUCGUUUCUUGGUUAAUGUUGAGUUUAUGUGACAGUUGUAAUAAAGCUUUAUAUUUAGGUCUAUCAACAUAAUAUGAAUGAUUAGUAAAGAAGGCGAGACAUUUCAGCGUGUGCCCUCUUGUUAUUUAUUAUAUCAACCGGUAUAUCUUCUACUAUCUAUAAUACUAAAAUUACGAGGUCCAAUUUGUCAGCCGUCAUCGGGUAAAAACGACAAAUCAAAGAAUUCAACUCUAUAUAUAGC